GACUUUACAUUUAGUAAAAAAAAUUUGAAUUAAAUAAGGAUUAUGAAAUAAAAAGAUAAUACCUAUUAAUUAAAACAGAUAGAAGAUGUAAUUAAGACAAUUGAUAAUGUGAAAAUAGAUUGAGUUAAAACAUUUCUGAAGCAGGGCUAGUAAAAAGAAGAAUUUGUCUAUGCAAAUUCAUAAUUUUAAAAGAGAUUUAGCCUUAGAAAAUUAUUAUCAGGAAGAAAUUGAAGGGAAAAAGAACAGCACAAGAAAAUAGGUCAAUAGUGAAAAGCAUUAAGUGUAGUAAGAGAUGAUUUGGGGAAAAAAGGGGUUUAAUGUAAUAGAUUUUGUUUCAUAUAUCCAUACAAGUAAAAGAAAAUGUAAACUAAAUUUGAGGACUAAAGAGUAAAGCAAAACAGAACAAAAAGAUUAAAUGAUUUUUCAGUUAACUUACAAAAAUUACAUGAAAGAUGUGUAUACAAUGAAGUAGAUGGGUUGCCUUAGAAAGUUUUUUUAUUUUUUUUUAGAAAGUUAUUUUUUUAGAGAAAAAAUAAAUAAAUGCAACAUUCAAAUGAACAAAUAGUUCAAAAUGAUUUGAAGAAGUACAGUUAAUACUUAAAGGAUUAUUAUCAUUGCAGGACUUGAAUUUAAAAUUAUAAAAUUAACCAGUACAGUGAGGGUUAAAAUUAAACCAGAUGCACAUCUGCAGAGAAAAGAAGAAAAAAAGCUGAAAUAGGUAUAAAAAACAAAAUUGAAGUUUUAUUAAGAGUGGGAGUAUUAACACCUAGUGAUUAUAAUAUGCAAUACAUAUGUCAUUGGAUAGUUCUAUUUAGAUUAUAUUUCAAUUCAGGUAUGACAGUGUAUGUAAUUAUUAAGAUUUUAAUUUAAAUUGAAUAAAUACUUUAAUUAUGCUGCAUCAAAGCAGGUAAAAAGCAGAAGAUAUAAGAAAAAUGAAUGAGAGAAAAUUUGUCAACUGAAGUUCCUACAUUUUAUGAACAAAUGUUCCUCCUGAUGUCAAAUAUUGUUGAUAAUUAUUUUCUUUUCAGCCAAGUUUAGGUAAUUAGCAAAAGAGGAUAGGUACCUAUUAGUAUUUUCAUUUGCUGCUGAAAAUUAUACAUACACAAAGUCUGAAGAUCUUAUGAUGAACAGUAGUGUGUUACACUAUAUUUACACUAUUACACUAUAGUUACACUAUAUAGUUUAUUUAAAUAUCAGCAGCUCCUUAUAGUUCUAGCUCAAUUAAAUUAACAGAAAACCCAUGAUGACUUUUAGGGAUGACUGAAAUUUAGCAUUGAUGGAACAGAGAAUUUUACAACAAACUGCACUAAAGAAAAUUUAUGAAACAGGAAAGACUGCAAAAAUAAGGCCCUAAAUUAACAGGAAACACAGAUUCAAUAAAAGCAUUUGAGAUGAUGAAAGAAAAAUUUGUUUAUCAUUAAAGGAAACAAUACAGAUUUGAAAGUUAAACAAGUGACAGAAUAUGAGGUAGCAAGUCAUCUAUAGUGCUUAUAGAGCUACAACCUUAAUUGAAGAACAUUGUAAAAAUUAAACAACAAAAAGGUCUCUGUGAACAAUCUAGCAUGAAAGGGGGGAAAUAGCCUAUAUACAUAAAAGACUAAUUGUUGUGCCAACAGCAUCUCCAAGUAUACUUAUUGCCGAUGCACAUGAAUUUGAUCAAGGGUGAAGUAUUAGGAAAACUUAAACAGCAAGGAGAUUGGUAUCCUUAUUCGAAUGCAGUGCUUAGUGAGUUUUGUCCAUGUGACAUCUAUGCUAAAUAUAAUGUGAGGGAAGGAACAGCGAGCAGUACCUGAAGUGAUUUUUAAGCAUUUAGUAAUGAGGGUUUGAGGUUAUAUUAAAACGAGUACAAGGCAAGAAAUACAUGUUUGUACUACUUAACAGGUUGGGAUUAAAAGCUGGUUGUGAUGAUUAACUAUAUUUCUCAUGAAUAAAAACAUCCAUUCUUAGAUUUGGACUAUCAUCAGAAAUCAUUUCAAAUAAUGAUUGUGCAUUAAUAAAUUUAGAAUAUUAAAUUAAAAAUAGCUAAAUAAGUAAAUAAGUGAUUAAAUAAAUUAUCAAAUAAAUAAAUAAAACAGUUAAAGAAGUACUGUUAAUUAAGAAUGAAUCAAAGGCUAGAGUGAAGUUUUUCAAGCACAAUCACAACAACUGGUCAAAGGCACCAAGAAGAUCUAUUAAGGCUAUAACUUUUUUGAAAAACCUAAAAAAUAGGAAACCUGAUUGAGUUUGGAUUGGUAAACUGGACUGAUGUGUAAACUGAUGCUUUAAUGAGUUUUUAUGUAAACUAACAGAAACAGGAACUUAACACUGCAUGGAACGCUAAUUGCACAUAAGUAUUUUUGUCGAAUAAGAAAAACUAACUGCCAUGUAUGAAGUUAUUUAUUUACAGGAACAGAACAGGGAACGACAGAAGGAAACUGUUUUGGAAGAUGUUCCUGCUGUUGCUGCUGCUGAUGAUGCAAAUAAAGAUGAGUGAAAGCCUAGAGGAGUUCAUCGAAGCUGCCGGAGCUCCUAUCGGAUGUACACGGGCAAAGAGGGAAGAUGAUUACGGUCAAGGGACACCUUUGUAUCCAAUGGCAAGAGAAGCAGAAGAGCAGACUCUACUGGCGGUUUAAAAACCCACUGUCUGCUCCAACGCCAGACAGUACUCAGAAGUACCUCUGGCGACGUGGGAUAAAACAUCAGAUAUAGCUUGUUUACAGGCGCCGAGAAUUUUCUACAACUAUAUGAUUUCUGUUAAACGAUGAUUAAUCAAGUAUAUAUGCAGUAUACCCACAACUGUGAGCAAGGCUGACAAGCAUAUGUUUUUAACCUGACUAAUGAUUAUUGUGUGUUGAACUCCCCCAAAGAAGUAUUCAGUUAGGGAGAACGGGAUCUUUUACUCCCUCUAAAGUCAAAAGUAGAGGGAGAUGUUUGGUUCUGUUUCUCCUCUGAAGUGCGGCGCAAGGAUGCUGACAAUUGAUAAGGAUGUAAAUGGGCAACUUUUUGGUUGCACAAGUAUGUUAAGACUUUGCAAGAGUUGGAUUCUUAAGUUGCACUUCAGCGAGGGAUUUAGGAAAGGGACUUUUUUGAUUAAGUCCCUAAGGGGGGAUUUAUAUUGGAGAAUUAUAGAGGAACUUUUAUUAUGUAAUCACUAUAUAAUCACUGUAUAAUCUUCCACUAUUAAAAUACACUGUUAAAACAUAUAGAAAUACAUUCAAGGGAUGCAGAGCAAAACACACAGAAGUAAACAGCGAUGAAGUAAGACCAUUCAGACAGCAUAUGCAACACGUAUUGAUGUAUUGACCAUGACAAAAACAACUUAAAAACAACUUUGCUCAAUCUGCACGGCAAUAGCAUGCAUAGGGAGAAUCUUUUAAAAAGUGUUGAAAUAUGACCUUUAAGAUGUGCAAAAACAGAAAAACAUACAGCCAUCAAUAUAAAGGCUAGAAUCCUAUUGGAGCCUGAAAAUAACGUGAUGCUCAUGCUACACCACUGUUUCAUGAUGACUAUAGGAAAAGCCUGUAUAUAAACUGUGGGUUUUGGAACAUUUGUAGGAGAGAGAUCGAUCGACCAACUCUGCUGUAACAAUAAACUGCUUCAACUUGA